UACGUAGGGAGCUAGCGUUGUUCGGAAUUACUGGGCGUAAAGCGCGCGUAGGCGGCUUUGUAAGUUAGAGGUGAAAGCCCGGGGCUCAACCCCGGAACUGCCUUUAAAACUGCAUCGCUUGAAUCCGGGAGAGGUGAGUGGAAUUCCGAGUGUAGAGGUGAAAUUCGUAGAUAUUCGGAAGAACACCAGUGGCGAAGGCGGCUCACUGGACCGGCAUUGACGCUGAGGUGCGAAAGCGUGGGGAGCAAACAGG
rnacentral:rRNA from 1 species